GUUCACUGUAGACCUUUGUAAGCCUGUGUCCUUUCCUUUUAUCUACCCCUGCCUCCUUUGUCUUCCUAGGAGCACAUUUGAGCUUCUACUCGAAUCUACAUCUCCUGAAUUGCAAUUCUUGAGACCCCCAAAUAAACUUUUUGGUUCUUUUGCAGUUUAUGCCUCUUAUUUGCUGACUUUACAUGGUGACAGAAGUGGGAUCCCUAGCUACUGACCUUCAAUUCUGGUGCCACUUCACAGACACAAGCAAGGUGCCUGCAAAGAAUCUUUUGUGCUCUGUCGUCUCCUCCUGGUGGCUCUGGUUCCUGGUGAUUGGUUGCAGACAAUGCUACAGGCAUCAGGAAUGGCGGAGCCAAGAGACGGGAAGUCAUGGGUGACUGACACACCCUGUGGAAGAGAACCACCUGCCCAACACGAAACCCACCUUGGCCUGUAAGGUUUCUCAAGAACUUGCUCCCAGAAAAAACCUGGAUGGAGAACAAAACAGGACUAUCUGUGGACGAGAGGGAGAAGGGACACUGGGAAGUGUCCUCAUUAGCAGCAUCCAGCCUCGCGUUUCCUCUACCUCCCUGAGCAAAAGGAAACAGGAAGCAAAGUCUAGUCUUGAAUGUUCCAAAGCCUUAUGAUGUUUACCAUUCCCCCCAGGAGAGGAAGGUGAGGGCCGGAAAUCUCUCUGCAAAGAAGAUACUUUUUUUUUUUUUAAUUCAAUGAAGUGACGCACAGACACAGCAACACAACUUCUCUCUGCUUAUAAGUUGUUAAGAGUGAUGAUAGUCUCAGUCUAUUUUAGUCCAGGGAAAUCCGAACUCCUUUAGCCGCAAUGGCCCCCAAGGGGCGCAUGUGCAUCUGUGGUUCAGGGUGUCCAGGAGGAGACAGCCUCUCCUUUUGGAGCAAAAAGCAUAGUCAACCGGUGGCGGGACAGAGGCAAAAGCUCUAGGGCAAGGAAAUCUGGGGGUUUGUGUCAAAGCUCCACCAAUCAGGAGCUUCAAGCUAAGAUGGGGAGGCUGGAAAGAUGGAAGUUGGCAUGGGAAUCCUGGUAUGGACAAGAAAUUCCUCCUGGGUCAAAGGCAGGAGGAUGUCCAGGAAGGGAGAAGGGCGGGUCAUGGAUGGACCGAGUUUGCUUGGAGUCCCAUGAGAAAAGGGGAAGCGAGAGCUCACCACCUUGUGGCCCCCAGCUUCCUGGUGUGCGGCUCUGGCGGCAGGUGUGGGGCUCUAGUCUCUGAAAGUAUUGGGAGAGGGAAGGAGAAACUGGCGUCCCAGGCUCCCAGGGG
rnacentral:lncRNA from 1 species